rnacentral:rRNA from 1 species
UACGUAGGGGGGCUAGCGUUGUCCGGAAUUACUGGGCGUAAAGAGCUCGUAGGUGGUUUGUCGCGUUGUUCGUGAAAACUCACAGCUCAACUGUGGGCGUGCGGGCGAUACGGGCAGACUAGAGUACUGCAGGGGGAGACUGGAAUUCCUGGUGUAGCGGUGGAAUGCGCAGAUAUCAGGAGGAACACCGGUGGCGAAGGCGGGGUCUCUGGGCAGUAACUGACGCUGAGGAGCGAAAGCGUGGGGAGCGAACAGG